AGAGCAAGUCGGUCUAUCGCUACCAAGAGAAAGAAAGGGGUACGCCUCUUGAUCUCAUUGGCAGAGGAAAGUCCGGGCAGCACAGAGCACCACAGCGGUUAACGGCCGUCAGGCAGCAAUGUUUGGUCACUGCUACAGAGACGAGAAAAGUGAAACGAGCAUACUGUGGGCUGCAAUUCCAUGUAAACCAACGUCUGAGCGUUGCUCGCGUGAGUUCGUAAGAACACGUUGGAGGGUAGGAAGCGAGAGAAGCACGUGGUAACACGUUGCUCGAGAUUAAUGAUAGACGCCCGCAAGGGUACAGAACCCGGCUUACAGAUUUGCUCUCGCC
rnacentral:RNase_P_RNA from 1 species